UUACGCUGUUAUCCCUUAGGUAAUUUAGUCUUAUAAUCAACAAGAAUGGACCAAAUUAUUAUAAAUAAAUAUAUAAAUAAAAAAAAGAGUUUAUUAAUUCAUUUUCAUCACCCCAACAAAAUAAAUUCUACAAUAAAUACCUUUAACAAACAAAACAAUUACAAAAUAUAUGAAACUCUAUAGGGUCUUCUCGUCCCAUAAAAAAAUUUAAGCAUUUUAACUUAAAAUUUAAAUUCAAAAUAUAUUAUUAAGAAACAGUGUAUUCCUCGUCCAACCAUUCAUUCUAGUCUUCAAUUAAAAGACUAAUGAUUAUGCUACCUUUGCACGGUCAAAAUACCGCGGCCCUUCAAAAUUAAUCAGUGGGCAGGUCAUACUUCAAAAUAAAAACAAGAAGAGAUGUUUUUGAUAAACAGGCG
rnacentral:rRNA from 1 species